rnacentral:rRNA from 1 species
CUGGAGGUAUCAGAAGUGCGAAUGCUGACAUAAGUAACGAUAAAGCGGGUGAAAAGCCCGCUCGCCGGAAGACCAAGGGUUCCUGUCCAACGUUAAUCGGGGCAGGGUGAGUCGACCCCUAAGGCGAGGCCGAAAGGCGUAGUCGAUGGGAAACAGGUUAAUAUUCCUGUACUUGGUGUUACUGCGAAGGGGGGACGGAGAAGGCUAUGUUGGCCGGGCGACGGUUGUCCCGGUUUAAGCGUGUAGGCUGGUUUUCCAGGCAAAUCCGGAAAAUCAAGGCUGAGGCGUGAUGACGAGGCACUGCGGUGCUGAAGCAACAAAUGCCCUGCUUCCAGGAAAAGCCUCUAAGCAUCAGGUAACAUCAAAUCGUACCCCAAACCGACACAGGUGGUCAGGUAGAGAAUACCAAGGCGCUUGAGAGAACUCGGGUGAAGGAACUAGGCAAAAUGGUGCCGUAACUUCGGGAGAAGGCACGCUGAUAUGUAGGUGAAGUCCCUCGCGGAUGGAGCUGAAAUCAGUCGAAGAUACCAGCUGGCUGCAACUGUUUAUUAAAAACACAGCACUGUGCAAACACGAAAGUGGACGUAUACGGUGUGACGCCUGCCCGGUGCCGGAAGGUUAAUUGAUGGGGUUAGCGCAAGCGAAGCUCUUGAUCGAAGCCCCGGUAAACGGCGGCCGUAACUAUAACGGUCCUAAGGUAGCGAAAUUCCUUGUCGGGUAAGUUCCGACCUGCACGAAUGGCGUAAUGAUGGCCAGGCUGUCUCCACCCGAGACUCAGUGAAAUUGAACUCGCUGUGAAGAUGCAGUGUACCCGCGGCAAGACGGAAAGACCCCGUGAACCUUUACUAUAGCUUGACACUGAACAUUGAGCCUUGAUGUGUAGGAUAGGUGGGAGGCUUUGAAGUGUGGACGCCAGUCUGCAUGGAGCCGACCUUGAAAUACCACCCUUUAAUGUUUGAUGUUCUAACGUUGACCCGUAAUCCGGGUUGCGGACAGUGUCUGGUGGGUAGUUUGACUGGGGCGGUCUCCUCCUAAAGAGUAACGGAGGAGCACGAAGGUUGGCUAAUCCUGGUCGGACAUCAGGAGGUUAGUGCAAUGGCAUAAGCCAGCUUGACUGCGAGCGUGACGGCGCGAGCAGGUGCGAAAGCAGGUCAUAGUGAUCCGGUGGUUCUGAAUGGAAGGGCCAUCGCUCAACGGAUAAAAGGUACUCCGGGGAUAACAGGCUGAUACCGCCCAAGAGUUCAUAUCGACGGCGGUGUUUGGCACCUCGAUGUCGGCUCAUCACAUCCUGGGGCUGAAGUAGGUCCCAAGGGUAUGGCUGUUCGCCAUUUAAAGUGGUACGCGAGCUGGGUUUAGAACGUCGUGAGACAGUUCGGUCCCUAUCUGCCGUGGGCGCUGGAGAACUGAGGGGGGCUGCUCCUAGUACGAGAGGACCGGAGUGGACGCAUCACUGGUGUUCGGGUUGUCAUGCCAAUGGCACUGCCCGGUAGCUAAAUGCGGAAGAGAUAAGUGCUGAAAGCAUCUAAGCACGAAACUUGCC